rnacentral:lncRNA from 10 species
AACAAAAAAACCGUGAAGCUAAAGGAAACUCAUGAUUGAGAUGAACAGGUGUGUUAUCUGUCAGGCCUCUGAGCCUAAGCCAAGCCAUCGCAUCCUCUGUGACUUGCACGUAUACGCCCAGAUGGCCUGAAGUAACUGAAGAAUCACAAAAAAAGUGAAUAUGCCUUGCCCCACCUUAACUGAUGACAUUCCACCACAAAAGAAGUGUAAAUGGCCGGUCCUUGCCUUAACUGAUGACAUUACCUUGUGAAAGUCCUUUUCCUGGCUCAAAAAGCACCCCUACUGAGCACCUUGCAACCCCUACUCCUGCCCACUGAGCACCUUGCGACCCCAACUCCUACCCGCCAGAGAACAAACCCCCUUUGACUGUAAUUUUCCUUUACCUACCUAAAUCUUACAAAACGGC